rnacentral:rRNA from 1 species
AUUGAACGCUGGCGGCAGGCCUAACACAUGCAAGUCGAACGAGUGGCGGACGGGUGUGUAAUGUAUGGGAAACUGCCUGAUGGAGGGGGAUAACUACUGGAAACGGUAGCUAACACCGCAUACCAUCAGAUGUACCCAUAUGGGAUGAGCUUGUAGGUGGGGUAACGGCGCACCAAGGCGACGAUCCCUCGCUGGUCUGAGAGGAUGACCAGCCACACUGGAACUGAGACACGGUCCAGACUCCUACGGGAGGCAGCAGUGGGGAAUAUUGCACAAUGGGCGCAAGCCUGAUGCAGCCAUGCCGCGUGUAUGAAGAAGGCCUUCGGGUUGUAAAGUACUUUCAGCGGGGAGGCGUUACCCGCAGAAGAAGCACCGGCUAACUCCGUGCCAGCAGCCGCGGUAAUAC